rnacentral:ncRNA from 2 species
CUUAAUUAUCAAGAAUCUCAAAAAGAGAUAGCAACCUGCAGUAACGAGCAAGGUGCUAAAUAAGAUAAGCCAAAUACUUUGGAAAAAACGUUACACUA